UGAGCAAUCUGCCCUUCUCAUCGGAAUAAGCGUUGGAAACGACGUCUAAUGCCGAAUACGACCUCCUUUCGCAUGAUCGGAGGUGGAAAGCUCCGGCGGAGAAGGAUGAGCUCGCGGCCUAUCAGCUAGUUGGUGUGGGUAAUGGCCCGCCAAGGCGACGACGGGUAGCCGGCCUGAGAGGGUGACCGGCCACACUGGGACUGAGACACGGCCCAGACUCCUACGGGAGCAG
rnacentral:rRNA from 1 species